rnacentral:rRNA from 1 species
GAUGAACGCUGGCGGCGUGCUUAACACAUGCAAGUCGAACGAUGAAGCCCAGCUUGCUUGGUGGUUUAGUGGCGAACGGGUGAGUAACACGUGAGUAACCUGCCCUUAACUCUGGCAUAAGCCAUGGAAACUGGGUCCAAUACCUGAUAGGAGCUUCUACCGCAUGGUGGGUGCUGGAAAGAUUUAUCGGUUUUGGAUGGACUUGCGGCCUAUCAGCUUGUUGGGGGGGUAAUGGCUCAUGAAGGCGACGACGGGUAGCCGGCCUGAGAGGGGGACCGGCCACACUAGGACUGAGACACGGCGCAGACGCCUACGGGAGGCAGCGGUGGAGAGUAUUACACAGUGGGCGCGAGCCUGAUGCAGCGACGCCGCGUGAGGGAUGACGGCCUGCGGGUUGUGAACCUCAGUCAGUAGAGAAGAAGCGAAAGUGACGGUACCUGCAGAAGAAGCACCGGCUAACUACGUG